rnacentral:pre_miRNA from 1 species
UGAUGACGAUGACGAUGACGAUGACGAUGACGAUGACGAUGACGAUGACGAUGAUGAUCAUCAUCAUCAUCAUCAUCAUCAUCAUCAUCAUCAUCA